rnacentral:lncRNA from 1 species
CCGUCACCAAACCUAUACUCAGGGGAUAGGAAUAGGAUCCACCUCUUGAAGGAAGGAGAAUCAAAUAAUAUGUGGACAUAUUUUUAAAUCACCGCAGAAAUACUGCUGGGUUAAAGAUCAGUUAAAAACCAAUACCAUUUCUGGGGCACCUGAGUGGCUCAGUGGGUUGAGUGUCCAAUUCCUGGUCUCAGCUCUGGUUAUGAUAUCAGGGUCACGGGACUGAGCCCUGCAUCAAGCUUUGCACUCAGCGGGAAAACUGGGGACCACAUAACAGCCAAAUGCAUAGCAGCCAAAUGCAACAUCUUUGAGUUUCUUCCUCUUCAUGUCCUAAAUCUCCUGACUUAUCCUUAUCCUGGGAAGCAAAAGGAAAUUCAUAUAUUCCUACGGAAAGGAAGUUGGAGUGUGAAGGUCAUCCAAAGUGAGCUG